rnacentral:lncRNA from 1 species
GAUUAAAAGUGACAAUUUAUUAAAGCUUUUAAAUAUGGGUAUUUUUCGUGAGGACACAGUUAAUUUAAAAUAAUCUUUGGGUAAACAAUUUCACAUCCUGAACUGUAUCACAUAAAGAAAAAGACCACCACUUUUUUGAGGGGCAGAAGAGGGAGAGAUAUGAGCACAAAGUAGUUUGGAAUAAGGAAGGAGAACUGAAUAUUUAUACAUUUAAAAACUGAUAUGUACAUAUAUUUGCACUUCAAGUAAAUUCCAAUGGGAGUCAUUCGAAAUUUCCUUGGGGUUCCCUUGGUGUCAUAAAUAGCUCAAAUUAAAUGCUAUGGUAACUAGAUCAAACAUGGCAUCUAAAGGAGAAGGGGGAAAAUACACUUAUAAUGAUAGAUCUACUACUGAUACUACUGGGUACAAGAGAGUGUCUAUAUGUUUUUAAUUGUAUGUUUUAAAAGAAUAUGUGUAUAUAUAUAUGUGUGUAUAUGCAGAGUAACUCUAGAAGGAUACACAAGAAAUUGGUAACACUAGUUGCUACCUUUCAGUGUCUAUCAAUCUGGAGCAUCUAAAUUUUGUACUAUAUGCAGGUUUUCCCUAUUC